GAAAUGCGAUAAGUAAUGUGAAUUGCAGAAUUCAGUGAAUCAUCGAAUCUUUGAACGCACAUUGCGCCCGCCAGUAUUCUGGCGGGCAUGCCUGUCUGAGCGUCAUUUCAACCAUCAAGCCCCCGGGCUUGUGUUGGGGACCUGCGGCUGCCCGCAGGCCCUGAAAACCAGUGGCGGGCUCGCUGUCACACCGAGCGUAGUAGCAAUCACCUCGCUCAGGGCGUGCUGCGGGUUCCGGCCGUUAAACAGCCUUACAAAACCCAAGGUUGACCUCGGAUCAGGUAGGAAGACCCGCUGAACUUAAGC
rnacentral:misc_RNA from 1 species